AUGUUCUUGCUUAAAAUUGUUUCUCUCAUAUACUUGUCUUCUUUUUCUAAAUUUUAUUUUAUUAUCCUUGAAUGGCAGGAAAGAGUUCUAGAGAGAGAAGACAAAGGCAGUCUGUGUUUAAAAAAAAACCCAAGGCUGAAAAUUGAAGAACUGAAUAUGCAGCUUGGAAAGCGAACUGGACACAUGGAAAAUCUUGUCAGAUGGCUGCAUGCUUUUCACUGGAGGAGAGGGUGCCAGCCAUGGCUGCCUUUGAUCUUCAUCUUCUCAUCCAGGCUGUGUUUCCUUUCCUCAGCUGUGGUUCUCUCAGAGAAAGAGAGGAGGAAAUCAAUACUUUGAUCCUGAGGAAGGAAAGCAUGCGAAUGGAAUAAGUUAAGCACUUUGACACAGUGUUGAGUUAGAUAAAUGUUCUUCCUUAAAAUUGUCUCCCUCAUAUACUUAUCUUCUUUUUCUAAGUUUUAUUUUAUUAUCCUUGUAUGGCAGAAAAUAGUUCUAGAGAGAGAAGACAAAGGCAGUCUGUGUUUAGAAAAAACCCAAGGCUGAAAAUUGAAGAACUGAAUAUGCAGCUUGGAAAGCGAACUGGACACAAGGAAAAUCUUUUCAGGUAUGUUGGAUGUUAAGACUUUGUGUUAAGGCUCAUUUUUCCAUGUUCCUCAUUUCCUCCUCACAAAACAAAUGUAACAACAUUUGCAAGGCAGGCCCUUGCUGAAAUUAUUAUGUGGUGGAGACACUACUUCACAAACACAUUUCAUCCACUUAUUAAAGUCUCACACAUGGUUAUAGUCUGCAUGUAGAUGGAAAUAAGAGUGAUAAUCUGACACAGGUCAUUUUUCUUACUUGGCAAGAGAAGUUGACAAAGUUCUCCCCUCAGAAGCCAUAAAAUAAUUUGGCCUAAACAAUUUGUACUAAGAUUAUGAUGUUGUACAUGAAAACAAUAAAAUUCCUAAGCUCUGCUAGCAUACUGUGAAAGGUGAAUUAUGUAAGCAAUGGUGAGAAGACCGAAGCUUUAUUUACAAGAACAAUAUUGGCACUUUGUGAUUGCUGACCAAAACAAAUGUGUGAAAUGCUUCUCUGUGAUGAAUGAAAGAAAGGUGAAAGGAUGUCCCAGGUGAAUUUUAUGUUCGUUUUGUUUUCCAUUCUGUGUUUGUCUGGUACUGUUUUGUAAUAUUUAGUUAUAAUUUUAAUCGGGAGUAUUAGUUGAUGCAUCACACUGGCUCUUCUCCACAGUCCAGAAGAAACUGAUUAAAGCUCCGGGUGGGCUCAGGGAGUUAGUCUGGGAACAUAAAGAGAGCUAAUUUAAAGAGGAAGCAGAGUGUCAAAGAACCAUGGCACAAAAGUUCUUAGUCUUGUUACCGGGACUGUGUAAGGGAACCCGUUCUGAUUUCUUACAAAAAAUUGUCUUCUGAUAAAGCCCUGUUAAAUUAACGGAGGACACAG
rnacentral:lncRNA from 1 species